rnacentral:rRNA from 1 species
UACGGAGGGUGCAAGCGUUAUCCGGAUUCACUGGGUUUAAAGGGUGCGUAGGCGGGUAAGUAAGUCCGUGGUGAAAUCUCUGAGCUUAACUCAGAACCUGCCGUGGAUACUAUUUGCCUUGAAUAUUGUGGAGGUGAGCGGAAUAUGUCAUGUAGCGGUGAAAUGCUUAGAUAUGACAUAGAACACCAAUUGCGAAGGCAGCUCACUACACAAUCAUUGACGCUGAGGCACGAAAGCGUGGGGAUCAAACAGG